GUAGGGAGCGAGCGUUGUCCGAAGUUACUGGGCGUAAAGCGCGCGUAGGCGGGCUAUUAAGUGAGAGGUGAAAGGCUGGGGCUCAACCUCAUGCAGUGCCUCUCAUACUGGUAGUCUUGAGGGCGGUAGAGAGAAGUGGAAUGGCUGGUGUAGCGGUGAAAUGCGUAGAUAUCAGUCGAAACACCGGUGGCGAAGGCGGCUUCUUGGGCCGUUCCUGACGCUGAUGCGCGAAAGCCAGGGGAGCGAACGGGAUUAGAUACCCCGGUAGUCCUGGCCGUAAACGAUGGAUACUAGGUGUCGGGGGUAUCGACCCCUCCGGUGCCGCAGCUAACGCAAUAAGUAUCCCGCCUGGGGAGUACGGCCGCAAGGUUG
rnacentral:rRNA from 1 species